rnacentral:rRNA from 1 species
GACGAACGCUGGCGGCGUGCUUAACACAUGCAAGUCGAACGGAAAGGCCCUGCUUUUGUGGGGUGCUCGAGUGGCGAACGGGUGAGUAACACGUGAGUAACCUGCCCUUGACUUUGGGAUAACUUCAGGAAACUGGGGCUAAUACCGGAUAGGAGCUCCUGCUGCAUGGUGGGGGUUGGAAAGUUUCGGCGGUUGGGGAUGGACUCGCGGCUUAUCAGCUUGUUGGGGGGGUAGUGGCUUACCAAGGCUUCGACGGGUAGCCGGCCUGAGAGGGGGACCGGCCACAUUGGGACUGAGAGAGGGACCAGACGCCAACGGGAGGCAGCAGGGGGGAAUAUUGCACAAUGGGCGGAAGCCUGAUGCAGAAACACCGCGUGCGGGAUGAAGGCCUUCGUGUUGUAAACCGCUUUCGCCUGUGACGAAGCGUGAGUGACGGUAAUGGGUAAAGAAGCACCGGCUAACUACGUG